rnacentral:tRNA from 1 species
UAAGACCUGUGGAACACUAAACC